rnacentral:rRNA from 1 species
AUUGAACGCUGGCGGCAGGCCUAACACAUGCAAGUCGAACGGUAACAGGAAACGGCUUGCUGUUUCGCUGACGAGUGGCGGACGGGUGAGUAAUGUCUGGGAAACUGCCUGAUGGAGGGGGAUAACUACUGGAAACGGUAGCUAAUACCGCAUAACGUCGCAAGACCAAAGAGGGGGACCUUCGGGCCUCUUGCUAUCGGAUGUGCCCAGAUGGGAUUAGCUAGUAGGUGGGGUAACGGCUCACCUAGGCGACGAUCCCUAGCUGGUCUGAGAGGAUGACCAGCCACACUGGAACUGAGACACGGUCCAGACUCCUACGGGAGGCAGCAGUGGGGAAUAUUGCACAAUGGGCGCAAGCCUGAUGCAGCCAUGCCGCGUGUAUGAAGAAGGCCUUCGGGUUGUAAAGUACUUUCAGCGGGGAGGAAGGGAGUAAAGUUAAUACCUUUACUCAUUGACGUUACCCGCAGAAGAAGCACCGGCUAACUCCGUG